GAUGAACGCUAGCGGGAGGCUUAACACAUGCAAGUCGAGGGGUAUAGGUAGCAAUACUUAGAGACCGGCGGACGGGUGCGUAACGCGUAUGCAACCUGCCUUAUACCGGGGGAUAGCCCGUGGGAACGCGGAUUAACACCCCAUAUGACAUUAAAUUCGCAUGGGAAUGAAGUUAAAACUGAGGUGGUAUAAGAUGGGCAUGCGUCUGAUUAGCUUGUUGGUAAGGUAACGGCUUACCAAGGCGACGAUCAGUAGGGGUUCUGAGAGGAUAAUCCCCCACACUGGUACUGAGACACGGACCAGACUCCUACGGGAGGCAGCAGUGAGGAAUAUUGGUCAAUGGGCGCAAGCCUGAACCAGCCAUUCCGCGUGAAGGAAGAAGGCCUUAUGGGUUGUAAACUUCUUUUCUGUAAGAAGAAUAGCCCCGACGUGUCGGGGUAUGACGGUAUUAUAGGAAUAAGCAUCGGCUAACUCCGUGCCAGCCGCCGCCGUAAGAC
rnacentral:rRNA from 1 species